AAAUUCUCAAAAACAAAAGAAGUAACAAAAGGCAUACAUCAACCGUUUUUACUGUGAAAACAUGUAAGAUGACCAAAGGAAACAAAUUGACGAACGAGGAAAUUAAAUAAGGGAAUAAUGUGAAAUGCAUUCUUCAGCAAACUCAUAAGCAAAAAAGGGUGGCCUUCUCAUCCUUGAGCCUGCAAAAUGAAACGACGAUCGGUCACCGGUUGGCGUGCAGGCAACAACGUAUGCAUACGGAUUUUUGUUUCAUUAGAACACAUAAGUAAUAUAUGAUCUCAAGUACUAGGAACCCAACAGCUAAUAGUGCACGUACAUGCGUGGAUCCACGGCCACCCAUCAGGGGAAGCAGAGCGGGUAUGAAGUGAUCUGCCAUAAGGCGUUCCCUGAAGUUGCCGAUGCAGAGAGAUCCUGACCAGGCUUCCGUCAUGUAC
rnacentral:lncRNA from 1 species